rnacentral:lncRNA from 1 species
UCUUCCAGCAGCAUUAAAUAGCGCCGUUCACGAAAGGACAACGUUAUUUGCGUUUGGGGACAAGAGGUCUUAAAGGACUCUAGAACACCAGGACGAAAAGCAAAUACAGUAAUGAAGCCUAUAAUUGCGGUAAUGUUGUUGGUUCUUCUUUUUGCAACCUGUGAGGAAGGCCUCGGAGCAAAGUGCUGCCCCGAGGUGAGCGGAUUUGGUACCUGUGUGGAGGACUGCGAUAAUUGCGCUAAGAAUGAAAUGUGCUGCUCAAAUGGAUGUGGUCACGUGUGCAUGAAACCCGUCAAUUGUUAAGGCAUGGGGAGGUGACACGAGUGAAGCCGCUGACACAAAGAAAAAAAAUUAUAACUGCAUCAACUAUGUCCACCAUGACGUCACUUUCGAAAAGAGAAUUAUUAUUCGAACUCGAAAACGCCUUUUGAAACAAUAUUUUCAUUAAAUUGAUAAAGCAGGGACCACACUGGAAAAUUUUAUUAAAAGGGCAAAAUCACGAUCAAAUAACCGGAAGCUUCUAACUGGCUACCCGACAAGAUUCCAUUAUAAGAUUAUGUAAAAUGGCUGAAUGCAACAUCGCUUUCAUCUAAUAUAUAUUAUGCGCUUAAUACUGGUACUUCCAAUAUUUCAGAUUUUCCUUUCUACCUUUGAGAUUGUGCACAAGAGGUAGCAGAGAAAAAAUAAAAUAAAUAUGGGCUAUUUGGUUCAAAAAUAUUA